rnacentral:rRNA from 1 species
UACGUAGGGUGCAAGCGUUGUCCGGAUUUAUUGGGCGUAAAGAGCGUGUAGGCGGCCAGAUAGGUCCGUUGUGAAAACUCGAGGCUCAACCUCGAGACGCCGAUGGAAACCAUUUGGCUAGAGUCCGGAAGAGGAGAGUGGAAUUCCUGGUGUAGCGGUGAAAUGCGCAGAUAUCAGGAAGAACACCCGUGGCUAAGGCGGCUCUCUAGUACGGUACUGACGCUGAGACGCGAAAGCGUGGGGAGCGAACAGG